GUCUCCAAACACGGGGCACCUUUAACCCCUGAUUGAGACCGCCUGAGGCACCUGCGAGCUGCGAUUCAGGUCUUUGCGGGUUUUCUCCGGGCUUCCUGCUCCAGCUGCCAGCUGUCGCACGGGAGCACCGCCCUGUCAGCAGGGUUUUCGGUGUUUUUGGUCACCGUUCAUGGUGCCGCCCUAGCAGUUCUGUCCAGAGUCCUGGCCCAUCGCCCUCUGCUUCUGGCUGGCCCGCAUGUCGGCAACCGAGCUCGCAGAUACCUGCGCUGCCCCGUUUCCAUCGAUGGAGGACAGAUUGGCAGCAGGUUCAGGCCCUGGUAGGAGAAGCCGGAAAGACGACACACAAGUGAGCAUCAGCUGACAAGGAGGGAAGAAAACCAUGCCAGCCCAGGAAAGGGGUGCACCGACAGAGAUUUUGGGCGCUGAUACCGACAGCCGAUUGUUUUAAGGAGGUGUAUCGGCCAAUACCGAUCCCAUUUGGAUACAGCUGCAUGCAGCUGGCUACUCAGGAGAAUAUGAUCAUAUAUGCUUGUGGAUGCUGGGAGGAUCUGAUGUCAGCAUUCAAAACUGAUGGAGAAUACAGAGAACCAAGAUGGUCAAGUUGGAAAGAAUUGCAUAUCCCAAGACCUCUGUCCUUGGACUCGACAGUUCUGGAUACUAGAUACCAGCUCCCAUUCAUGCCCCUUGGUGUAGUCCAUCAGCCUCUCCAGCUUGAAUCUCAACAGUGAAGACCCAACAAAGCCUAAGGGUGUGAAUGACUGUGUGGAAAGUUGUCUUUAAUUUGUUGCGGGGGCUAGAGAUGGUCUCCCUUUGCAUAGCAUACGCUCAGGAAAGAAACAAUGCUAUUCUUCAGGCAUUUUCCCUAACAUCCCUUUGGACUCCAGAGGAAUUUCAGUCAGCAGAACACGAUGGCUCCAGAUGGACCCUGACCUUUAAAACUCUUACACCACCAAAAAGCAGCACUGGAAGCUUCUUCACGAAUGCAAGUGGCCAGAGCCUGGUCUCGUGUCCUGUCCCAGAGCUGCGGUUGCUCCAGCAGCACCCUGAUUUUUUACAGAUUUGGAAGGAACAGCAUCGUAUCGACUCAUCUGUGUCACUUCCCUAAGCCACCUCCUAACUGCGCGGCAGUUUCUCACUCAGCCUCGAACCUAUUUACCCCUUGAGAAACACAAUUCAUAAUCAGCCGUUUCCCUAUUGCAGAGAACUCGGAAGGACCACGGGGAUAGAUUGCUGUUUGAAAUCUCUGCCUUUAUCUGGUGAAUUUGGUUGGCAAACGUAAUGGUGUGAACACUGGGCAGAAUCCCCCAGGCCCCUUGGAAGAAAUUGCAAGGCACCUCAGGGUGCAUCGAUGGUGAUCGCGGGAACGGCUCGGCCAGGCCUCUACCCAAAAUCUUGGUGACCAAAUUAAAAUGACAGCGCAUCUUGCCCAAAAAUGCAAAGUGACAGCUGGUACCAUACGAAAUAGAAUGACCUCAGUUGGCUUUAUUCUCUGUGCUCGAUCAUGUCAAAUCCAGGAAAUUGUGAACAGAGACCUAACGCGCUCAUCACACGUGUGUGUAUCUAAGAAAGCGGGUGCAGGCAAGGAAACCACAUAUUCAUUUCAAUGGAUUCAGCAGCUACACGAGACAAAAGGCUAAAGAUGCAUCUCAUGGGAAACCUCUGAAAGGUGCAGGGUGGAUGCCCUGUACGUGACAAAUGCGCCCUGCUCACAUUUCUCUAAAUGGGCCUCCAGUGUCACAGGUGUUACAAAUGUCUCAACCGUUCAACGUAUGUCUGGAGUUUGGUAAACAGAGCAUCGCUGGCCCAUGCUACUGCCAAUUUGCCCUGCUGAUAAGCAAGUACCCAAAGAUAGGUCUGGUAACAUCUCUAAACAUCCUGUUUGGCCCCUUGAGACUCAUCGCCUGCUAACUAACCUGUAAUUGCAAAGGCUACAGAGGCACACAAGUCUUCACCCCUAGACAAAUCCAAAACCGGAGCCAGGCAAAGCGACGGUCCCCCUUUCCCUCCCUGUUUGUCUGGACUCUAAUCAGCCAGCUACCAAGGAAAACAUACUUUGAAGUUAUACACUCAAAUGGUUGAAGAACUAAGCAAAUUUGCCAGCAAGGUGCACAGUCCCGGAAAAGCAGAGAGAGGUCGCUGCUAUGUCGCACCCGGCUUGACCAGCAACGGGUCCUGCUUGGUGAAAGCUGCGCAGCUGGACUGGCUCCCUUGGCCUGCAUUGGUGAGAGGACACUCUUGCUGCUAACUAUGUACUGGGGCUUUGCGGAGUAGCUCGUUUUAUUUUGGAAAGGAGCCUUUUUUCUGUCAUUUAGGGGUACAGCUGGCUUGUGGUAUUGUCAUUAAAGCCUUUCAGCUAUUGAUGACCCGGGUGUCGUAUCAGUUCUUGGGGCACUCGGUUGGAAAACCCGCUUUCUAAGGGCAACAGGUGCUGUGACCCCUGGUUGAGAAUCGCAGCUCUGGGAGCUGGAAAUACAUGCCAUCAACCGUAAGGGACAUUUGACGUGCGAGUGGGAUAUUUGCUGCUCCCGAAGGGCUUGGGCCAACAAGUGUCUGUCGGCAUCGCUGGGAAUAGCAGAG